rnacentral:rRNA from 1 species
AGUGAACGCUGGCGGUAGGCCUAACACAUGCAAGUCGAACGGCAGCACAGUAAGAGCUUGCUCUUACGGGUGGCGAGUGGCGGACGGGUGAGAAAUACAUCGGCAUCUACUUUUUCGUGGGGGAUAACGUAGGGAAACUUACGCUACUACCGCAUAUGACCUACGGGUGAAAGCAGGGGAUCUUCGCACCUUUCGCGUCUGAAUGAGCCGAUGUCGGAUUAGCUAGUUGGCGGGGUAAAGGCCCACCAAGGCGACGAUGCGUAGCUGGUCUGAGAGGAUGAUCAGCCACACUGGAACUGAGACACGGUCCAGACUCCUACGGGAGGCAGCAGUGGGGAAUAUUGGACAAUGGGCGCAAGCCUGACCCAGCCAUACCGCGUGGGUGAAGAAGGCCUUCGGGUUGUAAAGCCCUUUUGUUGGGAAAGAAAAGCAGCAGGUUAAUACCCCGCUGUUCUGACGGUACCCAAAGAAUAAGCAACGGCUAACUUCGUG